rnacentral:lncRNA from 1 species
CACACAUUCAAUUGAUGAACACUAGUGUAAACAUAAGGAACACAAUUUUUGACUUAAAAAAUUCACUUUCUUUUUAUUUUGCAGGAAUCGUUAGAUUGGAAUGUUUGAAUUAGAAACCGGUAGCAAAUAAGCCCACGAAGGCCAUUUCUGCAUGCUAUAAUGUGUUGGAAAAAAGAAAGAUGUCAAAAAGGUAUGACAAAUAUGUAAUUAAGCUUAUGUAGGUGUAUCUUUUCUAUAUCUGUAUACCUAGGUCAAGAAAUCGACUUAUGUAAUUUAAUGUAAAACUUGCAUUUCACUGCCAUUAUCAAAUCUAUGAUACUCCAAUAUAUAUAUGAUCGAAAAUCCAAUUAAAGCCUAACACUAUUGCAUGAAUUUGAUGCUUAUGAACAACUCUCUUCUAUUAAUUUUAAAUUUAUUUUGCAGGAUAUAUAGGCGCAUAGACAUUACUUGUUGUGGAGGAUUUUGACAUUAGAAGUUGAUGAUAACACAUAAAAUGCCAAGUUGAACUAGUUGAUAGCUUUUAGUGAAGAUGCACUGAAAAGUUGAGCGUACAUUGUGUGUGAUCGUACUAGAACUGUUGGAAUUUGAAAACUUUUAAACUUUCAUUGUGACAAAUAUCUAUAUCAUAAACUAUCUACUUAUCACAUUGACAUGCUUUUU